rnacentral:rRNA from 1 species
CCAAUAGCGUAUAUUAAAGUUGUUGCAGUUGAAAAGCUCGUAGUUGAAUUUCGGGGUUCUACCGUUGGUCGAGAUAUUGUUUGUACUGGCGUGUAGAAUUUCUACCUUCUGGGGAACUAUCAUGUUAUUAAUUUAGCGUGGUAGGAAACCAUGACCUUUACCUUGAAAAAAUUAGAGUGUUCAAAGCAGGCUUAUGUCUGAAUACAUUAGCAUGGAAUAAUAAAAUAGGACGGUGGUCCUGUUUUGUUGGUUUCUGAAUCACCGUAAUGAUUAAUAGGGAUAGUUGGGGGCAUUAGUAUUCAAUUGUCAGAGGUGAAAUUCUUGGAUUUAUUGAAGACUAACUACUGCGAAAGCAUUUGCCAAGGAUGUUUUCAUUAAUCAAGAACGAAAGUUAGGGGAUCGAAGACGAUCAGAUACCGUCGUAGUCUUAACCAUAAACUAUGCCGACUAGGGAUCGGACGAUGUUAACUUUUCUUGACUCGUUCGGCGCCUUACG